rnacentral:rRNA from 1 species
AAUGAACGCUGGCGGCAUGCCUAACACAUGCAAGUCGAACGAAGGCUUCGGCCUUAGUGGCGCACGGGUGCAUAACGCGUGGGAAUCUGCCCUUGGGUUCGGAAUAACAGUUAGAAAUGACUGCUAAUACCGGAUGAUGUCGUAAGACCAAGGAUUUAUCGCCCAAGGAUGAGCCCGCGUAGGAUUAGCUAGUUGGUGGGGUAAAGGCCCACCAAGGCGACGAUCCUUAGCUGGUCUGAGAGGAUGAUCAGCCACACUGGGACUGAGACACGGCCCAGACUCCUACGGGAGGCAGCAGUGGGGAAUAUUGGACAAUGGGCGAAAGCCUGAUCCAGCAAUGCCGCGUGAGUGAUGAAGGCCUUAGGGUUGUAAAGCUCUUUUACCCGGGAUGAUAAUGACAGUACCGGGAGAAUAAGCUCCGGCUAACUUCGUGCCAGCAGCCGCAGUAAAAC